GGUCAUGAGUGCCAGCGACAAGCCCCGGCUCGCUGGUCGGCAACCCUCCUUCGCGGUGGGGUGCCCCGGGUGAAGACCUGGCCACACCCGUCCCGGGUGUGCGCAAGCGCGAAGA
rnacentral:ncRNA from 2 species